AACGAACGCUGGCGGCAGGCUUAAUACAUGCAAGUCGAACGCUCCAGCAAUGGAGAGUGGCAGACGGGUGAGUAACGCGUGGGAAUCUACCCAAUACUACGGAAUAGCUCCGGGAAACUGGAAUUAAUACCGUAUGUGCCCUACGGGGGAAAGAUUUAUCGGUAUUGGAUGAGCCCGCGUUGGAUUAGCUAGUUGGUGGGGCAAUGGCCUACCAAGGCGACGAUCCAUAGCUGGUCUGAGAGGAUGAUCAGCCACACUGGGACUGAGGACACGGCCCAGACUCCUACGGGAGGCAGCAGUAGGGAAUAUUGGACAAUGGGCGAAAGCCUGAUCCAGCCAUGCCGCGUGAGUGAUGAAGGCCUUAGGGUUGUAAAGCUCUUUCAGUGGGGAAGAUAAUGACGGUACCCACAGAAGAAGCCCCGGCUAACUUCGUGCCAGCCGCCGCCGUAA
rnacentral:rRNA from 1 species